AUGGGCAAUGGCACAAUUCCAAAAAGGAUGGAGACCAGAAAUAGCACAAUGGUGAUGGAGUUCAUUAUUUUGGGGUUAACAGAAGAUCCUACGAUUUGUUCAAUCUUCUUUGUGGAUUUUUUAGGAAUCUAUGUCCCUUAUCUCCACGUCUCCACCCCUUUCCCGCUUUUCUGGAGGGCAGGAACCCCCCAACCCCUUCUCUCCGUGUCUCUACUCUCUCUUUUCUCUAGGCUUAUCUCCUUCACUAUGGGCAACCUUCCACCCUCCAUUCCUCCUUCUUCUCCCUUAGCCUGUGUUCUCAAGAACUUAAAACCUCUUCAACUUACACCUGAGCUGAAACCUAAAUGCCUUAUUUUCUUCUACAAUGCCGCUUGACCCCAAUACAAACUCGACAGCAGUUCCAAAUGGCCAGAAAAUGGCACUUUCGAUUUUUCCAUCCUACAAGAUCUAAAUAAUUCUUGUCGUUAAAUGGGCAAAUGGUCUGAGAUGCCUGGCAUCCAGGCAUUCUUUUACACAUCAGUCCCUCCCUAGUCUCUGUUCCAAAUGCAACUUAUCCCAAAUCUUCCUUCUUUCCCGCCAACCUGUCCGCUCAGUCCCAACCCCUAGUGUCGCUGAGUCUUUCUAAUAUUCCUUUUCUACAGACCCAUCUGACCUCUCCCCUCCUCUCCAGGCUGAGCUAAGUCCCAAUUUUUCCUCAGCCUCUGCUCCCCUACCCUAUAAUCCUUUUAUCACCUCUCCUCCUCACACCCGGUCUGGCUUACAGUUUCCUUCCGUGACUAGCCCUCCCCCACCCGCACAGCAAUUUCCUCUUAAAAAGGUGACUAGAGCUAAAGACAUAGUCAAGGUUAAUGCUCCUUUUUCUUUAUCCGAGCUCUCCCAAAUCAGUUAGUGUUUACGCUCUUUUUCAUCAAAUAUGAAAAACCCAGCCCAGUUCAUGGCUCAUUUAGCAGCAACCCUGAGACGCUUUACAGCCCUAGACCCUAAAAGGUCAAAAGGCCAUCUUAUUCUCAAUAUACGUUUUAUUACCCAAUCUGCUCCCGACAUUAAAUAAAACCCCAAAAAUUAAAUUCCAGCCCUCAAACCCCUCAACAGGACUUAAUUAACCUCACCUUCAAGUGUACAAUAAUAAAGUAGAGGCAGCCAAGUAGCAAUGUAUUUCUGAGUUGCAAUUCCUUGCCUCCACUGAGAAACCCCAGCCACAUCUCCAGCACACAAGAACUCCAAACACCUGAACCACAGCUGCCAGAGGUUCCUCCAGAACCUCCUCCCCCAGGAGCUUGCUACAGGUGCUGGAAAUCUGGCCACUAGGCCAAGGAAUGCCUGCAGCCCAGGAUUCCUCCUAAGCCCUGUCCCAUCUGUGUGAGACCCCACUGAAAAUCAGACUGUUCAACUCACUUGUCAGCCACUUCCAGAGCCCCUGGAACUCUGGCCCAGGGCUCUCUGACUGACUCCUUCCCAGAUCUUCUCGGCUUAGCAACUGAAGGCUGACACUGCCCAAUCACCUCAGAAGCCUACAGGACCAUCACAGGUGCUCUGGGUAACUUUCACAGUGGAGGGUAAGUCCGUCCCCUUCUUAAUCAAUACGGAGGCUACCCACUCCACAUUACCUUCUUUUCAAAGGCCUGUUUCCCUUGCCUCCAUAACUGUUGUAAGUAUUGAUGGCCAAGUUUCUAAACCUCUUAAAACUCCCCAACUCUGGUGCCAAUUUAGACAUUCUUUAAUGUACUCCUUUUUAGUUAUCCCCACCUGCCCGUUUCCCUUAUUAGGCCCAGACAUUUUAACUAAAUUAGCUGCUUCCCUGACUAUUCCUAGGCUACAGCCACACCUCAUUGCCGCCUUUUCCCCCAGUUCAAAGCCUCCUUCACAUGCUCCCC
ensembl:lncRNA